GACGAACGCUGGCGGCGUGCUUAACACAUGCAAGUCGAACGGAAAGGCCCUGCUUUUGUGCGGUGCUCGAGUGGCGAACGGGUGAGUAACACGUGAGUAACCUGCCCUUGACUUUGGGAUAACUUCAGGAAACUGGGGCUAAUACCGGAUAGGAGCUCCUGCUGCAUGGUGGGGGUUGGAAAGUUUCGGCGGUUGGGGAUGGACUCGCGGCUUAUCAGCUUGUUGGUGGGGUAGUGGCUUACCAAGGCUUUGACGGGUAGCCGGCCUGAGAGGGUGACCGGCCACAUUGGGACUGAGAUACGGCCCAGACUCCUACGGGAGGCAGCAGUGGGGAAUAUUGCACAAUGGGCGGAAGCCUAAUGCAGCAACGCCGCGUGCGGGAUGACGGCCUUCGGGUUGUAAACCGCUUUCGCCUGUGACGAAGCGUGAGUGACGGUAAUGGGUAAAGAAGCACCGGCUAACUACGUG
rnacentral:rRNA from 1 species